rnacentral:tRNA from 1 species
UAUCUUAAUAGCUUAUAUAAGAGCAUAAUAUUGAAGAUAUUAAGGAAUUUUUAUUUUUUAAGAUGAA